UUAUUUAAUAAAGAUACCUUUAAAUGGUAUAAUUAUGUUCAAAAAAAUUCUCUAGAUGGUAUAAUUGCUUAAAUCUAUCUGAAAUGAUAUAAUAUAAAUAAAUUGAAGUUACACACUAGUCAGUAUGAUACAUUUAUAGAUUACAGAAAAAAACGAGUUCGUGUGAUGAUAGAAUGCUAUCUCACCUGCUACUUUCCACACCUACUCUUCGAUUGCUUGAGCUUGACCAUCAAGAAAACAAUAAUUUGGUUUUUGUUUCGGGAAAUUGGGUGAGAUAACUAUAAAAGAAAACAAUAAUUCACUAACUAACUGAGAUCACACCCUCUCCCAUCUUUUCUUUUUCUAUUUCUUUCUAUCUUUUCUCUACAAAACUAAUUUUGUUUUCCUGGCUAUUUCACAAAUAACCGCUUUUGUUUUUCCGGAAACAAGACUAUCUGAAACUUUGAAGUAAGAUUCUCUCUGAACCAUAACUGUUAAAGAGUAUAUGUUCUGUUCAUAAGAAAAUAUGACCAUUUACGAAAAGCAGCACGUCGAUAAGGAUAGUUUACUCAUUUGAGUAGAUCACCAGGGUAUUUGCACAAUGGCCUAAUACUGUGUUAACCUCAUCUCCACCACCUCCCCCCCCCUCUUCUGCAUUUAUUAUUUAUAUUUUGGCCUUUUACGCCAAAUAUUUUUUUAUUGCCUUGUGCAUUUGCUUUUCCAGACAUUAAAUAGUCCCAUGCCCUUUAGCCACACCUCUUUAAAAUCAGUUGAAGUUGGGUAAUAAAUGAUAGAGAAAAUAAUAACAAAAAAAAUCUUAUGGCGGGCUGAUUUUUCUGUGAAAAUUAACAAAUCGGGUUGGCUGUAAACUAUCUUCUAACUGAACAUCUAUAACAUCCGACUAAAUCGUCUUAAUAUUUUUUUUUUGUUUUUAUGAUGUCAAUAAACUAGUAAACAGUAUAAUUUCUUAUGGAAAAAAGAAAUAAAUAAAAAAAAUUCUUAUGGAAUACGUUAAUAGCGUAAUAGAGACUAUAUACUAAGGUAAGAUUCUUAUAAAUUACCGUUAGCUGUAAUGGUUGUAUACGUGUGAAACAAUAAGCAACAUAGUAUUUGCAACAACAAAAGAUGAGCAACAUAGUAUUUGCAACAACAAAAAAUGAGCAACAUAGUAUUUGCAAAAAAAAAAAAUGAACAACAUAGCAUAUAAAGCCAAAAAUGAUCAAAUCAUAAACAAAUAUAUGAAGAAAACUCUGAAAAGUUGGCAAAAUAAAUAUCAAAAACGGUAGGUAUUGCGUUCCUAGUUGAUGAAAACGAUAAACUGGGCAGUGUGUAAAAUCUGAUAGCAAGUAUUUUUUAACGUUAAUACAAAUUGAGGGUUUUGAGGGUUUUUGUUGUGAAUAAAAGAAAAUUAAAUAGUUGAUCGAAAAAAAAAAAAAUAGUUGAUCGACGAUAGGGGUUAAGCAUUAAGGGCAAUUCUAUAUAACACUAAUUUUUUUGUUUUGGUGUUAAAAUUUAUUUUUCAUCUCUAACCAUCAUACUAAAUCCUACAUCAAAACAAUAUUAUAUAUUGAUAACAUUUUAAUAAUUUAAUACAUUAAGAAUUUAUAAUUGACUAAUUAUAUUUAUUAC
rnacentral:lncRNA from 1 species